GUGCCAGCCGCCGCGGUAAUACGUAGGGGGCGAGCGCUACCCGGAAUUACUGGGCGUAAUGGGGGCGUAGGCGGCCCGGCAAGUCAAGUGUGAAAUCCGGCGGCUCAACCGCUGGGCUGCGCUUGAAACUGCCGGGCUUGAGUGCAGCAGAGGGAGACGGAAUUGCCGGUGUAGGGGUGAAAUCCGUAGAUAUCGGCAAGAACGCCGGUGGGGAAGCCGGUCUCCUGGGCUGUUACUGACGCUGAGGCCCGAAAGCUGGGGGAGCGAACCGGAUUAGAUACCCGGGUAGUCCCAGCCGUAAACGAUGCUCACUAGGUGUGGGGAGAUAAAUCCUCCGUGCUGAAGCUAACGCGCUAAGUGAGCCGCCUGGGGAGUAUGCCCGCAAGGGUGAAACUUAAAUGAAUUGACGGGG
rnacentral:rRNA from 1 species